rfam:Streptomyces sp. WM6386 contig842.1, whole genome shotgun sequence.
CUGGGUUGAUAGGCCGGAUCUGGAAGCACGGUAACGUGCGGAGGUGACCGGUACUAAUAGGCCGAGGGCUUGUCCUC